UAAGAGCGGUAGGAGUGGGAACAUGAAGGAACACGUAUGCUCUAGUUUCUUCUCUAGCAAUGGAGGCGGUUAUUUGCAUCGAUGUGUUCCUGGUGCCUCCCAUUCCUAUGGUUCUUA
rnacentral:pre_miRNA from 1 species